AGAGUUUGAUCAUGGCUCAGGAUGAACGCUAGCUACAGGCUUAACACAUGCAAGUCGAGGGGAAACGAUAUUGGAAGCUUGCUUCCGAUAGGCGUCGACCGGCGCACGGGUGAGUAACGCGUAUCCAACCUGCCCAUCACUUGGGGAUAACCUUGCGAAAGUAAGACUAAUACCCAAUGACGUCUCUAGAAGACAUCUGAAGGAGAUUAAAGAUUUAUCGGUGAUGGAUGGGGAUGCGUCAGAUUAGCUUGUUGGCGGGGUAACGGCCCACCAAGGCUACGAUCAGUAGGGGUUCUGAGAGGAAGGUCCCCCACAUUGGAACUGAGACACGGUCCAAACUCCUACGGGAGGCAGCAGUGAGGAAUAUUGGUCAAUGGACGAGAGUCUGAACCAGCCAAGUAGCGUGCAGGAUGACGGCCCUAUGGGUUGUAAACUGCUUUUAUAAGGGAAUAAAGUGAGCCUCGUGAGGCUUUUUGCAUGUACCUUAUGAAUAAGGACCGGCUAAUUCCGUGCCAGCAGCCGCGGUAAUACGGAAGGUCCGGGCGUUAUCCGGAUUUAUUGGGUUUAAAGGGAGCGUAGGCCGGAGAUUAAGCGUGUUGUGAAAUGUAGACGCUCAACGUCUGCACUGCAGCGCGAACUGGUUUCCUUGAGUACGCACAAAGUGGGCGGAAUUCGUGGUGUAGCGGUGAAAUGCUUAGAUAUCACGAAGAACUCCGAUUGCGAAGGCAGCUCACUGGAGCGCAACUGACGCUGAAGCUCGAAAGUGCGGGUAUCGAACAGGAUUAGAUACCCUGGUAGUCCGCACGGUAAACGAUGGAUGCCCGCUGUUGGUCUGAAUAGGUCAGCGGCCAAGCGAAAGCAUUAAGCAUCCCACCUGGGGAGUACGCCGGCAACGGUGAAACUCAAAGGAAUUGACGGGGGCCCGCACAAGCGGAGGAACAUGUGGUUUAAUUCGAUGAUACGCGAGGAACCUUACCCGGGCUUGAAUUGCAGAGGAAGGAUUUGGAGACAAUGACGCCCUUCGGGGCCUCUGUGAAGGUGCUGCAUGGUUGUCGUCAGCUCGUGCCGUGAGGUGUCGGCUUAAGUGCCAUAACGAGCGCAACCCCUCUCCUUAGUUGCCAUCAGGUUAAGCUGGGCACUCUGGGGACACUGCCACCGUAAGGCGUGAGGAAGGUGGGGAUGACGUCAAAUCAGCACGGCCCUUACGUCCGGGGCUACACACGUGUUACC
rnacentral:rRNA from 1 species